GAUUUGAGUAAAAAGAGUGACGAAUGGAGAACUAGGGUGCACUAAAGAGGACGGAGCCCCCCGAAAUGGCGGAGGAGAGACUUUGAAGCCCUAAUGUCCUGCGCGGCAACGCAGCGGGGGGGCCAGGGGAGCGAAACAUCCCAGUACCGGGCCCCCCACCCCCCCCUCCCCAUAAUGGGUGUUUAGGGGGGGGGCACAAUAAAAAUCAAACGAGAUUCCGCAAGUGGCGGCGAGCGAAAGCGGACGGGCCCUUUCCCGUAGGCCCCCCGGCCUCGGCUGGGGGGCGGGGGUCGCCCACCCAGGGGCGGGCGAGUAGUGAUGGGAAGAUGGGUGGCCACACAUCCAAGGCUUAAUAAUUAGUGUCACACCGAAAGAGAGGAGUACUGUAAAGGAAAGUUGAAAGAGACUUGAAAAGACCUUGAAAUGAGUCACUUAAAGCAGUUGUAACACAACGUACCUUUUGUAUAAUGGGUCCACGAGAUAAAAUUUGGCAAACUUAAAGUGCAAUCUCGCAGCCACCCCACAGGGGAUGGUUGGGGGGAUUGUUCUUGGCCCCCUAAGGUGUAGUGAAAGCAAGGGGGGGGAUACCCCCACCCCUCAGUCAAAUUUCCCGAAACCAAGUGAUCUAGCCAUGGGCAGUUUUUAGGAACGAACCGGUGGUUGUUGCAAAAACCUCGGAUGACCUGUGGUUAGGGGCGAAACGCCAAUCGAACUUGGAGAUAGCUGGUUUUCUGCGAAAACUAUUGAAGUAGUGCGUCCACAAUUCAAGGCUAAGAUCGACUGAUCUUAGGGUAAGUCGAAUAAUCAAGAUUUGCAUUAUCCGAUGAGAAUGGCUUGGAAUGCGGUAAAGCCCGAUCCCCCGAAGCCGGGGGAUUAACUAUGAAGAAAAAAAGCCAGAGUAGGACAGACAGACUGUGGGCGAUAAGGUCGACGGUCAAAAGGGGAGAAGCCCUAACCAGAAGUUAAAGUCAUUAAUAAAAAUUUCCACCAUCCUUCCCACCAUUCCGAAGGAAUGGUGGCCAGCCUGGCCCUCCUUAUGGAGGAUAACAGGCUGGGAGGAUGGUGGCUAGUAUAAAAUUUAGUGUAAAAGAGAUAUUGGAUUUAGACAAUGAAGAAGUAGGCUUGGAGCCAGCCACCUUUGAGAGAUGACGUAGCAGUUCACUCAAGAAAUUCUUUUAUCUCUAAAAUUAUGGUGGCUAAAGUUGAACUGAAACUCUGGGGGCGAAAUAACCCCACUAUCUAUAAGAUAGUGGCCAGCUUAGCUGGGAGGAGGGGUCCGGGAGGACCCAAUCCUCACCCUAACGGGUGCAGGUUGCGAGGAACUCCCACCCUUCGUUAUGUUUGCUCGGUAGCAGAACGUACUGUUAAUUGUUCAGUGAGAGCCCCACGCGGCAUCAGAAGUGAUAAUGUGGACAUGAGUAAAAAAUCAUAGGAUCACUCCCCCCCUGGUUUCCCAUAUUAGCUAUGGGGUUAAACAGCCCCUAAAAUAGCAGCCCCAAAGGUUGCGUUAAUGGGGGGCCAUGAGUAAUAGACGCACAAAGUGCCAGGAAAGAAUUAUUCAAGGGCAUCGGUAAAUCGAAGGUGAUAACCAUCGCGAGGGAUGGUGGCCACCAUCUUUCGGCGCCACACUGUACUAAACUAACUAAAGUGGGGGAUAGUGAGGGGAUAAAUUUCCUUAAGGAACUCGGCAAAAUCCCAAUGGCCCACCAGGGCAUAGAUUGGAACACGGGCCUCGACUGUUUACCAAAAACAUAGCCCUCGGCUAAUAUGAAAAUAGAAGUAUGGAGGGUGAGGCCUGCCCAAUGGUUGUAUCUAAAAGCGGUGGAUAAAAGUCGACCGUGUAAGGACAAUUGAAUGGCCGCGGUAACACUGACCGUGAUAAUGUAGCGUAAUCACUAGCCAAUUAAUUGUUGGCCAGUAUGAAUGGCGCCACGAAGGCCCCACUGUCUUAAGGAAAUUCCCAGUGAAAUUGAAUUCGUAGUGAAGAUGCUACGUCCAAUUUGUUAGACGAAAAGACCCCGUUGAGCUUUACUGGGGCACUUACACGGCCCUGGCCUUCAAGCCUAAGUGUGAUAGGCCAAGGCUUAUCGCACCUAGGAGUUGGCCGAAUUUAAAUGGGUGGCUUAGACUAUGUGGCAGCCCCCCGUCGGGGCAGAUGAAACUCCACUCCCCCAUGUCAAAGGGGCUAACCCUCUCCUCUUGGGAGGGGAGACAAUGUAAGUAGGACAGUUUGGUUGGGGCGACCGCCUUUUAAAUAGUAACGAAGGUGCGCUUAAGGUGUGUAAUUAAUGACUGAAGCCUGACUGCGAGGGGGACACCCCGAGCAGACACCCCCAAGCCCGCCCGGGAGGGCGGCGAUGGGGUGGGCCAUAGUGACCCGUUAAUUUAGAGUGGAAUAGUUAACGAUCAACGAAUAAAAGUUACCACGGGGAUAACAGCGUAAUAUCGUUAGAGAGUUCACAUCGACGACGAUGUUUGCGACCUCGAUGUUGAAUUGCGGCAUCCUGGGGUGCAGCCGCUCCCAAGGGUUGGUCUGUUCGUCCAUUAAAGCCGUACAUGAUUUGAGUUAAAAGCGUGGUAACACAGCUUGGUUUCUAUCUACAAAUUGAAGAAACAUCGAUAUAACUAUCUUCUAGUACGAAAGGACCGAAGGAUUAGUGAUCCUCUUAUUUUUUAUAAGUUACGAUCAACCCAUUGACCUCCACUCCCCCUCCCGGGGGGGCGAGGGGUCUCUCAGCUAAUCACUGACCGCUUCUAAAGUGGGAAAGUCAUAUCGAAAUGUUUGGGCCCAUUAUAGGGGGGCUAAAACCCCACCAUCACGAGCCUGUUAUAGCGGCCUUU
rnacentral:rRNA from 1 species